rnacentral:rRNA from 1 species
AGAGUUUGAUCAUGGCUCAGAACGAACGUUGGCGGCGUGGAUUAGGCAUGCAAGUCGAACGAAUCCCAAGGGGCUUGCUCUUUGGGGGAAGUGGCGAAAGGGGCAGUAAUGCGUGGGUAACCUACCUCGGGGACUGGGAUAGCCUUCCUAACGGAAGGGUAAUACCGGGCGAUCUGGCGGACCGGCAUCGGCCUGCCAGGAGAUGAAUUUCGCCUCGAGAGGGGCUCACGUCGUAUUAGCUUGUUGGCGGGGUAACGGCCCACCAAGGCCAAGAUGCGUAGCGGGUGUGAGAGCACGACCCGCGCCACUGGCACUGAGACACUGGCCAGACACCUACGGGUGGCUGCAGUCGAGGAUCUUCGGCAAUGGGCGCAAGCCUGACCGAGCGACGCCGCGUGUGCGAUGAAGGCCUUCGGGUUGUAAAGCACUGUCGAGGGGGAGGAAGGCGCAAUGACCUAUCCCUGGAGGAAGCACGGGCUAAAGUUCGUGCCAGCAGCCGCGGUAAGACGAACCGUGCGAACGUUGUUCGGAAUCACUGGGCUUAAAGGGCGCGUAGGCGGGCGCUCAAGUCAGGGGUGAAAUCUUUCGGCUCAACCGGAAAAGUGCCCCUGAUACUGAGUGUCUCGAGGAAGGUAGGGGCAGAUGGAACUUCUGGUGGAGCGGUGAAAUGCGUAGAUAUCAGAAGGAACGCCGGUGGCGAAAGCGAUCUGCUGGACCUUUACUGACGCUGAGGCGCGAAAGCGUGGGUAGCAAACAGGAUUAGAUACCCUAGUAGUCC